rnacentral:rRNA from 1 species
GAUGAACGCUGGCGGCGUGCCUAAUACAUGCAAGUCGAGCGAACAGACGAGGAGCUUACUCCUCUGACGUUAGCGGCGGACGGGUGAGUAACACGUGGAUAACCUACCUAUAAGACUGGGAUAACUUCGGGAAACCGGAGCUAAUACCGGAUAACAUGUUGAACCGCAUGGUUCAACAGUGAAAGACGGUCUUGCUGUCACUUGUAGAUGGAUCCGCGUCGCAUUAGCUAGUUGGUAAGGUAACGGCUUACCAAGGCAACGAUGCGUAGCCGACCUGAGAGGGUGAUCGGCCACACUGGAACUGAGACACGGUCCAGACUCCUACGGGAGGCAGCAGAGGGAAUCUUCCGCAAUGGGCGAAAGCCUGACGGAGCAACGCCGCGUGAGUGAAGAAGGUCUUCGGAUCGUAAAACACUGUUAUUAGGGAAGAACAAAUGUGUAAGUAACUAUGCACGUCUUGACGGUACCUAAUCAGAAAGCCACGGCGAACUACGU